AUUGAACGCUGGCGGAAUGCUUUACACAUGCAAGUCGAACGGCAGCACGGACUUCGGUCUGGUGGCGAGUGGCGAACGGGUGAGUAAUAUAUCGGAACGUAUCCAAUAAUGGGGGAUAACUAGUCGAAAGAUUGGCUAAUACCGCAUACGCCCUACGGGGGAAAGCAGGGGAUCUUCGGACCUUGCGUUAAUGGAGCGGCCGAUAUCUGAUUAGCUAGUUGGUGGGGUAAAGGCCCACCAAGGCGACGAUCAGUAGCUGGUCUGAGAGGACGACCAGCCACACUGGAACUGAGACACGGGCCAGACUCCUACGGGAGGCAGCAGUGGGGAAUUUUGGACAAUGGGCGCAAGCCUGAUCCAGCCAUUCCGCGUGAGUGAAGAAGGCCUUCGGGUUGUAAAGCUCUUUCGCAAGGGAAGAAAACUUAGCCACUAACAUUGGCUGAGGUUGACGGUACCUUGAUAAGAAGCACCGGCUAACUCUGUGCCAGCAGCCGCCGUAAGAC
rnacentral:rRNA from 1 species